GUGUACUCCACUCAUCACUCCCCACCCCCAACCUCAGCUCGCCGCUCGCGAGGAAACCGGCUCCGCGACGAAAAGAAUAAUGUCGAACACCUAUCUCCCCCUCCUCCCUGCUCUCGUCGCCGGCGUCCUCCUCCUCGCCGCCGGAUGCGCCGCCGCCGCCGGCGACCGCGACACGCUCGUUGCCAUCAGGAAAGGGUGGGGGAACCCGCGGCACCUCGCGUCGUGGGACCCCGCCUCGGCGGCGGCGGCGGACCACUGCAGCUGGGAAGGCGUGACCUGCUCUAAUGCCACCACCGGCGGCGGCGGCGGCGCCGGCGUGGUGACGGAGCUGUCCCUGCACGACAUGAACCUCACCGGGACGGUGCCCACGGCGGUGUGCGACCUCGCGAGCCUGACGCGGCUCGACCUCUCCAACAACCAGCUCACCGGCGCGUUCCCCGCCGCGGCGCUGUCCCGGUGCGCCCGCCUCCGGUUCCUCGACCUCGCCAACAACGCCCUCGACGGCGCCCUCCCGCAACACGUCGGCAGGUUGUCCCCGGCGAUGGAGCACCUCAACCUGUCGUCGAAUCGGCUCUCCGGCGCCGUGCCCCCCGAGGUGGCGGCGCUCCCGGCGCUCCGGUCGCUGCUCCUCGACACCAACCGGUUCACGGGGGCGUACCCAGCGGCGGAGAUUGCCAACCUCACCGCCCUCGAGCGCCUCACGCUGGCCGACAACGGGUUCGCGCCGGCGCCCGUGCCGCCCGCGUUCGCCAAGCUGACCAAGCUCACCUACCUCUGGAUGUCCAAGAUGAACAUCACCGGCGAGAUUCCGGAGGCGUUCUCCAGCCUCACGGAGCUGACGCUGCUCGACAUGUCGGGGAACAAGCUCACCGGCGCGAUUCCGGCGUGGGUGUUCAGGCACCAGAAGCUCGAGAGGCUCUACCUGUACGAGAACUCCCUCUCCGGCGAGCUGCCGCGCAACGUCACGACGGCGAACCUGGUCGAGAUCGACCUGUCGUCGAACCAGCUCGGGGGCGAGAUAUCGGAGGACUUCGGCAACCUCAAGAACCUCAGCUUGCUGUUCCUCUACUUCAACAAGGUCACCGGCGCCAUCCCGGCGAGCAUCGGGCGGCUCCCCAAUCUCACCGACCUCCGGCUGUUCGGCAACGAGCUCUCCGGCGAGCUCCCGCCGGAGCUCGGGAAGAACUCGCCGCUCGCCAACUUCGAGGUCUCCAACAACAACCUCUCCGGCGCGCUCCCGGAGACGCUCUGCGCCAACGGGAAGCUGUUCGACAUUGUCGUCUUCAACAACAGCUUCUCCGGCGAGCUCCCGGCGAACCUCGGCGACUGCGUGCUGCUGAACAACCUCAUGCUCUACAACAACCGCUUCACCGGCGACUUCCCGGAGAAGAUUUGGUCGUUCCAGAAGCUGACCACGGUGAUGAUCCAGAACAACGGCUUCACCGGAGCUCUGCCCGCCGAGAUAUCCACCAACAUCUCCCGCAUCGAGAUGGGGAACAACAUGUUCUCCGGCUCUAUCCCGACCUCGGCGACCAAGCUCACCGUGUUCCGGGCGGAGAACAACCUGCUCGCCGGCGAGCUCCCGGCCGACAUGAGCAAUCUCACCGACCUCACCGAUUUUUCAGUGCCGGGCAACCGAAUAUCUGGCUCCAUACCCGCGUCGAUCAGGCUGCUGGUGAAGCUCAACUCGCUCAACCUGAGCAGCAACCGGAUCUCCGGCGUGAUACCGCCGGCGAGCUUCGGGACGCUCCCGGCGCUGACCAUCCUCGAUCUGUCCGGCAACGAGCUCACCGGCGACAUACCUGCCGAUUUGGGGUACCUCAACUUCAACUCGCUCAACGUGUCGUCGAACCGGCUCACCGGCGAGGUGCCGCUCACGCUCCAGGGCGCGGCGUACGAUCGCAGCUUCCUCGGCAACAGUCUCUGCGCCAGGCCGGGCUCCGGCACGAACCUCCCGACCUGCCCCGGUGGAGGCGGCGGCGGAGGCGGCCACGACGAGCUCUCCAAGGGCCUGAUCGUCCUCUUCUCGAUGCUCGCCGGCAUUGUCCUCGUCGGCAGCGCCGGCAUCGCGUGGCUGCUCCUCCGGCGGCGGAAGGACAGCCAGGACGUCACCGACUGGAAGAUGACGCAGUUCACCCCGCUGGACUUCGCCGAGUCCGACGUGCUCGGCAACAUCCGGGAGGAGAACGUCAUCGGCAGCGGCGGGUCGGGCAAGGUGUACCGCAUCCACCUCACCUCCCGCGGCGGCGGCGCCACCGCCACCGCCGGCAGGAUGGUGGCCGUGAAGAAGAUCUGGAACGCGAGGAAGCUGGACGCGAAGCUGGACAAGGAGUUCGAGGCGGAGGUGACGGUGCUCGGCAACAUCCGGCACAACAACAUCGUCAAGCUGCUGUGCUGCAUCUCCAGCCAGGACGCCAAGCUGCUGGUGUACGAGUACAUGGAGAACGGCAGCCUCGACCGGUGGCUGCACCACCGCGACCGCGACGGCGCGCCGGCGCCGCUGGACUGGCCGACGAGGCUGGCCAUCGCCGUCGACGCCGCCAGGGGGCUCAGCUACAUGCACCACGACUGCGCGCAGGCGAUCGUGCACCGCGACGUCAAGUCCAGCAACAUCCUGCUCGACCCGGAGUUCCAGGCCAAGAUCGCCGACUUUGGCCUCGCCCGGAUGCUCGUCAAGUCAGGCGAGCCUGAGUCCGUGUCGGCCAUCGGCGGCACGUUUGGGUACAUGGCGCCAGAGUAUGGGUACAGCAAGAGGGUGAAUGAGAAGGUGGACGUCUACAGCUUCGGCGUCGUGUUGCUGGAGCUGACGACCGGCAAGGUCGCGAACGACGCCGCAGCCGACUUCUGCCUGGCCGAGUGGGCGUGGCGGCGGUACCAGAAAGGCCCUCCGUUCGAUGACGUCAUCGACGCCGACAUCCGGGAGCAGGCCAGUCUGCCGGACAUCAUGUCGGUGUUCACGCUCGGCGUGAUCUGCACGGGGGAGAACCCGCCGGCGAGGCCGUCCAUGAAGGAGGUCCUGCACCACCUCAUCCGGUGCGACCGGAUGUCGGCCCAGGGACCCGAGGCGUGCCAGCUGGACUAUGUCGACGGCGCCGCUCCGCUGCUGGAGGCGAAGAAGGGGAGCCGGCGGAGGAGCUCGGAGUCUGGCAGGUGGGACGACGACGACGACGAUGACAGCGGCAAUUUCGUGGUGCACGUUGUUUAGGGGGCAAUCCCGGUGUGCACUAGCACUGUAGAGCGAGUACAUAGGUAGAGGAGCUCAUCCAUGAUCCAUGGUGGAGCUUUUGCAGAGGAGUUUUUCUCUGAUGACGUGGCAGCUCGGAAAACAUGAGCCCUUCAGAUCUCAGAUUGCAGCAGUAAGGGGUUGUUUGGUUUGCAAUAGCACCAAGUUGAGAGGUUUUGACAAGGAGCACAUCACCUAGUAGUGCUCAAGGACCAAACAGAUCACAGGUAAAUCAUCAUCUCCAAGCUAAACACUGUCAGGCAGAAUGCAAUAGUGGAUUCGCAUCCAACAUUCCAAGUUGCAUUUCUGAAACUCUGAAACUUGUGGGCACAUUUGGAUGUUCUGAAGAAAACCGGAGAAAGUUUCGUCGGUCUUUGGAAUGGACUGCAUAAAAUGGGCGGCUGGACUCUAGUGCUGCUGCUGCUACUGCACGCCCGCAUGAUGAAGCGAACUUGGUGUGGUUCGUUGCUACUGAAUGUGACAUAUGGUGUGAAGGUUUUUUUCAAAGUGGGGGCAGGUUGGUCUGCAGAAACGAACAAAUCCAUUGGAUGGAAUCAACUGAACAUUCUGAAGAAAACAGUGUGCAAGACAAGAGCAUGACUCUGACUCGUGUGCACUGCAGAUCGUCAACAUGCUUUGGAUCUAUCUCAUGUGCAGCCAUACUGGCAUCCAUCCGGUGGCCAACCUUUAUUACAAAACGGUGGCCUGAAGCCCUGAAUGCAAUGUUGUACAGUUUUCUGAAUGAUUACUUACUGUUCCAUUUGCAUACUACGGUACAAUACAAGGCUGCCAACCUGAAAAAUGUCGGUAGUGAAGAAGUAAAGAUGAUUUUUUUUUUCCAGGAGGAGAUCAAGCUUUGUACAUCUCACAGAUGUCCGCUAGUACCACAACUGAGCAUCAAUCUUCUAGAACUUUUCCAUUUGGCAAAGCGUUUUUUCACUGAAAAUGAAAAGAUCUCAGAAACAUGAGUUGUAUCCUCCUAGCUGAUGUUAGUUACAUGGCAGAAGUACCGUAUAUGGUAUGCAGUACUGCCAGUGCUCACCUUGUGAUGCCUGACGAGUUAAAUCCAGUGGAAAUUUUUAGCUACCA